GACGAACGCUGGCGGCAUGCCUAAUACAUGCAAGUCGAACGAACCAAACUGAAGAUUGAUGCUUGCAUCAUGAUUCAGACCUUGGUGAGUGGCGGACGGGUGAGUAACACGUGGGUAACCUGCCCAAAAGUGGGGGAUAACAUUUGGAAACAAGUGCUAAUACCGCAUAACAACUACUUUCACAUGAUCGUAGCUUGAAAGAUGGCUCUGCUAUCGCUUUUGGAUGGACCCGCGGCGUAUUAGCUAGUUGGUGAGGUAAUAGCUCACCAAGGCAAUGAUACGUAGCCGACCUGAGAGGGUAAUCGGCCACAUUGGGACUGAGACACGGCCCAAACUCCUACGGGAGGCAGCAGUAGGGAAUCUUCCACAAUGGGCGAAAGCCUGAUGGAGCAAUGCCGCGUGAGUGAAGAAGGUUUUCGGAUCGUAAAACUCUGUUGUUGAAGAAGAACAUGCGUGAGAGUAACUGUUCACGUACUGACGGUAU
rnacentral:rRNA from 1 species